rnacentral:sRNA from 1 species
AGCAGCCGCGGUAAUCCCAGCUCCAAUAGCGUAUAUUAAAGUUGUUGCAGUUAAAAAGCCCGUAGUUGAAUUUCGGGAUCAGUUCGCUGGUCGUGCCUUCGGUAUGUACUGGUGUUACUGGUUCCUACCUUCUGACGAACCGUCAUGUCAUUAAUUUGGUGUGGCAGGGAAUCAGGACUGUUACUUUGAAAAAUUAGAGUGUUUAAAGCAGGCUCGCGCUUGAAUACAUUAGCAUGGAAUAAUGAAAUAGGACGUUCGAUCCUAUUUUGUUGGUUUCUAGGAUUGACGUAAUGAUUAAUAGGGAUAGUUGGGGGCAUUAGUAUUCAAUUGUCAGAGGUGAAAUUCUUGGAUUUAUUGAAGACUAACUACUGCGAAAGCAUUUGCCAAGGAUGUUUUCAUUAAUCAAGAACGAAAGUUAGGGGAUCGAAGACGAUCAGAUACCGUCGUAGUCUUAACCAUAAACUAUGCCGACUAGGGAUCGGAUGAUGUUAAUUUUUUAAUGUA